GCUCUCUUCUCAGGGAUAAGCUGCAGUUCACCAACAAGGUGUUCCUCUACCUUGUGAUAAAUGGACAGAUAAAAUAGAAAGGUGAACAGCGCUAAAAAUCAGAAAAUGUACAUACGUUUUGUAGAAAUACUGGCCAGCAGAGUAGCUUAAAAAAAGAGAGAAACAAAAAUACAAAUAAUGGUACAGUAUGUAUGAACGAUAUAAUUCCACAAGAACAAAGAUGUU